UUCUGUUUAUAGGAAGGAGUUCAUCGGCAAUCGACUGAUCACUCUGUUCUGUGGUUGGAAUGUAAUAUUUUUACCAAGUCAAACUUAAUUAACAAAGUUGUGCACAUAUGCUUAUAAGCUAAUGAUCAUCAAGUUUUGGAUUCCUACUGAUGAUAAGAAGCUGAAAGCGCACCACUAUCCCACAUAUUCAGAUAGCAUAAUAGAGUGGAAGAUAUGCUAAACAAAGAUGGUGUGAAGUGUGCAGAAUUUGAAAUUCUGAUUUUUUUUAUAGUUCCUCCAAUAUUUGUAUCUAAAGUUGUUGGGCAGACAUUUUAGGAACUAUGUAUGUUAAGACAUGUAACCACUUGAAAUA